CACGUAGGGUGCGAGCGUUUGUCCGGAAUUAUUGGGCGUAAAGAGCUCGUAGGCGGUGUGUCGCGUCGGCCCGUGAAAACCUGCAGCUUAACUGUGGGCUUGCGGUCGAUACGGGCAUCACUGGAGUUCGGCAGGGGAGACUGGAAUUCCUGGUGUAGCGGUGAAAUGCGCAGAUAUCAGGAGGAACACCGGUGGCGAAGGCGGGGUCUCUGGGCCGAUACUGACGUGGAGGAGCGGAAAGCGUGGGGAGCGAACAGG
rnacentral:rRNA from 1 species